rnacentral:ncRNA from 1 species
UUUCGUUGUGCUUUGUUCGUCGGGUGUACGGCCUUCACGGGUUGGUUGCCUGGCGGAUGAGGUAUGGCGGGGCUUUGUCGGGAAUGUCUCGCGGGGGCUGGCUCUAUUGUUAUUCGGUCGUCGUCAUCCCCGGCGAUACCUUCUGCUCUCGCGUCCGUCACGCAGUCUUCUUAGAGGGACAAGCGGCGUCCAGCCGCGUGACAGUGAGCAAUAACAGGUCUGUGAUGCCCUUAGAUGUCCUGGGCCGCACGCGCGCUACACUGAAGGAAUCAGCGUGUUUCACUCUCCCUGUCCGAAAGGACCGGGUAACCGCUGAACCUCCUUCGUGGUUGGGAUUGGGGACUGCAAUGAUCCCCAUGAACCAGGAAUCCCUAGUAGGCGCGGGUCACUAGCCCGCGUCGAUUACGUCCCUGCCCUUUGUACACACCGCCCGUCGCUACUACCGAUUGAAUGAUUUAGUGAGGCCUUCGGACGGGCUUGUCGGGGUGCCGUCGAGUGGGGAGCAAUCUCUGCCCGUGCGGUGCCUACCAACGGCGAGACUGAAAGAUGGUCGAACUUGAUCCUUUAGAGGAAGUAAAAGUCGUAACAAGGUUUCCGUAGGUGAACCUGCGGAAGGAUCAUAA